UGCAAGUCGAACGAAGUAGCAAUACUUAGUGGCAGACGGGUGAGUAACAUGUAGGUAUCUACCCUUUGGCCUGGAAUAACACGAGGAAACUUGUGCUAAUACCAGAUAAGUCUUUACGGAGAAAGCUUUAUGCACCAUUGGAUGAGCCUGCACUUGAUUAGUUUGUUGGUGGGGUAAUGGCCUACCAAGACUGUGAUCAAUAGCUGAUUUGAGAGGAUGAUCAGCCACAUUGGGACUGAGACACGGCCCAAACUCCUACGGGAGGCAGCAGUGGGGAAUCUUGCACAAUGGAGGAAACUCUGAUGCAGCGAUGCCGCGUGAGUGAAGAAGGCCUUUGGGUUGUAAAGCUCUUUCGUCGGGGAAGAAAAUGACUGUACCCGAAUAAGGAGGUCCGGCUAACUUCGUGCCAGCAGCCGCGGUAAUACGAAGGGACCUAGCGUAGUUCGGAAUUACUGGGCUUAAAGAGUUCGUAGGUGGUUGAAAAAGUUAGUGGUGAAAUCCCAGAGCUUAACUCUGGAACUGCCUUUAAAACUUUUCAGCUAGAGUAUGAUAGAGGAAAGCAGAAUUUCUAGUGUAGAGGUGAAAUUCGUAGAUAUUAGAAAGAAUACCAAUUGCGAAGGCAGCUUUCUGGAUCAUUACAGACACUGAGGAACGAAAGCAUGGGUAGCGAAGAGGAUUAGAUACCCUCGUAGUCCAUGCCGUAAACGAUGUGUGUUAGACGUUGGAAAUUUAUUUUCAGUGUCGCAGCGAAAGCGAUAAACACACCGCCUGGGGAGUACGACCGCAAGGUUAAAACUCAAAUGAAUUGACGGGGACCCGCACAAGUAGUGGAGCAUGUGGUUUAAUUCGAAGAUACGCGCAGAACCUUUACCAACACUUGACAUGUUCGUCGCGACUUU
rnacentral:rRNA from 1 species